UGACUAAAACUAGUAACGGGG
rnacentral:miRNA from 1 species